AGCAGAUCCCACAGAGGUAACUUGAAGUCUCACUUUUUCCCCCUAUUUUGCAAGGAUCUGGACCUGCUUCCUCCCACAGACAUGUUUUCCCUCCCAAGGCCACUUUGGGGCCCUGCCCUGGAGUUUCUAAUCCUACUCUCCUCUGAAAAUUGCCAUCUUUGGAGGAACCUGGCAAGUCAGAGCUCAAAGAGCCCUCAGAGCAGGGGCGUGGUGCAUUGGGGAACACGGGCACAAACAGGUAAUGGGGGCUUCCUCCCUCCCAGGCAGUGGACCUGCAGAGUCCACAUUCUGGCCAUAUACUACAUGGCCUCCGGGAGCCCAUGUUUAUUUUAUCCUCAAAGCAGUCUAGUCCAGGAGAAACUAUUACAAAACAAUCAAACUUUUGAAGAGGACUCAAAAAGCCUAACCUUAAGCCUUCUCUCAGUCCCCCAGAUCCUUGGUCACCCCAGAAGGUGAAGAAGAUACUUGGCUGGUCCCUCCCCCUGGACACUAGGCUCUUCAGAUUACAUUCCUGGCUAGGCUACGGAGGAGCCUGGCACCAUUUUUGAGAUUCGGAUGCUUGUGGAUCAGGCUACCUCUUAGAGGUUUUACAGGGGCACCAUGACCUGACCCACGUGGACAGCUACAAGAACAAAGAAUUCCUACAGCAAGAAGUUUGCAACAACCAACCACACCCCCUCCCCUUUUUAGUACACAAGGAGCCUGAAUUCUGACUUGAGGAAGAUGGUUCUCCAAGACAUGAGUCUGCCGUCUUCUCGGUCUGCAGGCUUUCCGAAUAAAGUCGCUAUUCCUUGCCCCAA